rnacentral:tRNA from 1 species
AUUGGGGUGGCAGAGCAUGGCAAAUGCAAAAGGUCUAAGCCCUUUAAACCGUGGGUUCAAAUCCCUCCCCCAACU